GGACAGGUGCCGGAGUGGUCAAUCGGAGUUGCCUGUAAAGCAACCGGGCUUACGCCCUACGAAGGUUCGAACCCUUCCCUGUCCA
rnacentral:tRNA from 1 species